rnacentral:rRNA from 1 species
CUUAGGAUGAACGCUAGCGACAGGCCUAACACAUGCAAGUCGAGGGGCAGCACAAGGAGCAAUCUGAGGUGGCGACCGGCGCACGGGUGAGUAACACGUAUGCAACCUGCCUGUAAGCGGGGAAUAACCCGUUGAAAGACGGACUAAUACCGCAUAAUACUAAAUUACUGCAUGGUAAUUUAUUUAAACAUUUAUGGCUUACAGAUGGGCAUGCGCAUGAUUAGCUAGUUGGAGAGGUAACGGCUCCCCAAGGCAACGAUCAUUAGGGGUUCUGAGAGGAAGGUCCCCCACACUGGUACUGAGACACGGACCAGACUCCUACGGGAGGCAGCAGUGAGGAAUAUUGGUCAAUGGACGAGAGUCUGAACCAGCCAAGUCGCGUGCAGGAAGAAUGUCCUAUGGAUUGUAAACUGCUUUUGCAGGGGAAUAAAGUGCAUCACGUGUGAUGUUUUGUAUGUACUCUGCGAAUAAGGAUCGGCUAACUCCGUGCCAGCAGCUGC